GAUGAACGCUGGCGGCGUGCCUAAUACAUGCAAGUCGAGCGAACAGAUGAGGAGCUUGCUCCUCUGACGUUAGCGGCGGACGGGUGAGUAACACGUGGAUAACCUACCUAUAAGACUGGGAUAACUUCGGGAAACCGGAGCUAAUACCGGAUAAUAUAUUGUACCGCAUGGUUCAAUAGUGAAAGACGGUUUUGCUGUCACUUAUAGAUGGAUCCGCGCCUCAUUAGCUAGUUGGUAAGGUAACGGCUUACCAAGGCAACGAUGCGUAGCCGACCUGAGAGGGUGAUCGGCCACACUGGAACUGAGACACGGUCCAGACUCCUACGGGAGGCAGCAGUAGGGAAUCUUACGCAAUGGGCGAAAGCCUGACGGAGCAACGCCGCGUGAGUGAUGAAGGUCUUCGGAUCGUAAAACUCUGUUAUUAGGGAAGAACAAAUGUGUAAGUAACUAUGCACGUCUUGACGGUACCUAAUCAGAAAGCCACGGCUAACUACGUG
rnacentral:rRNA from 1 species